rnacentral:lncRNA from 1 species
GCAAAUGGAGAAUCUCAUCAAACCUUCAUUAUUUUAACUAAAACGGCUGCAAAGGCUGUCAAUAUCAUCGACUGGUUACUUGAGCGUGGGGUGAAAAAAAUCGUCUUGGCGGCAUUAGACAUUCGAGACGGUGAGGGUGCCAUUCGAAAAAUCAAUAACUCCACUAUUAGGCAUGAGGCUAUGUGUCUAAUGGUAUCCAAGGAAAUGAUGAGAACGGCACAAGGGAUGAAGACUCUACUUGGGAAAGCAGAUAGACUAGGGAAAAUAUCCACCAUAAUCACAGUCUCAUUGGAUGACCAUGUUGACAUUCUGUCAAAUAUUGUAAAAGAAACAAAGCUAUUAAAGAGCAAAUAUUCCCUAAUCAAUGUACAAUCAUCAACCAGUUCUUACGAAUUAGACGACAUGGUAACAGUAGUAUGCAAUGAUGAAGUAGAUUAUUCCCACGUGCUGGGCCAAGCGAUGACUGAUCCUGAUAGAACAGCGACUUAUGUCGUCUCUAGUAAGGUGGAGAAUAGCAGUGAAGCAGCUCUAAAUGAACAUGAAACGAUCAGAGACUAUUUACCAUCUUCCAUUCAAGAGUUGGAGGAGAUUGGGGCAGAUUUGUGCCUGAGAGACUCCCAAUAUGGCAGCGGAAAUUCCGCUGAGUUUCUACACACACCGUCCCUCUCACCGAGGACCUCAGCGGAGAUAGAUGACGUGCUCCCUGUCUUUAUAGUUCCUGCUUUUAGUCGCACGCAGUUACAGCCAUUGAUUUCGAAAUUGAUAUACCCUGUUACGUGGCACAUGUGCAUCCUGACGCAACGUCUACAGAGCAAGUAG